AGGUGAAUGGAAUAGUUUUUCAUUCACCACAGUUUGUGAUUGUCUCUACAUUGUGAAGUGACAAGUUCUCUUCUCUUUUCCUUCUGCCCCUCAUCACCUUUUUCUUCCUCAUUUCUUUUUUGAAUUUUGCUGUCUUGAAUUGGUGUCUAAAGGAUGACAUAGCAGACAAGGGGACUGACACAUGAACUCUCAUGAGUUACUGAGGAGUUUCUCAGUGCUCUGUCUGCAUCAUCUGCUCGCUCUCUCCUUCCUAGGUGCUAGCCUGCCAACCUGCUUUGAGAAAUUGGAAAUGAAUUGGGGGGUAAUCAGCCUCCCCUUGUACAUGUAGGGACCGCAUCUCCAAUGCCUUGCUUUACAUAAUGACGAAUGGUGUUUUGCUUACCUACUUCCACACAAACUGCUGAUAUAGUUAGGAUUUGGGAAAGGGGAAGAAGGGAAUUUUGGGUUUUGAGGAGUAGCUGGGGCUUGAACAAAGAAGAGGUAGUAAUGAACAUUCCUGGGGUGAGGCAAUUAGUUAGCUGAGGGAGAAGAAGGCAUAUAAUAAAUUAGGGAUUGACAGACUGUCUGUAAAGGGCCAGAUAGUAAAUGUUUUAGUCAUUGAAGACCUUAAGGUCUCUGUUGCAACUAAUCAACUCCAUCAUUGUAGUGCAAAAGUAACCACAGCCACUACAGAUGUGAAUGAAUGUGACUAUGUUUCAAUAACAUUUUCUUUUUUUCUUUCUUUUUUUUUUGAGACAGUGUCACUCUGUUGCUCAGGCUGGAGGGCAGCAGCCUGAUCACAGCUUAUUGCAGCCCUGACUUCCCAGGCUCAAGUGAUCCUCCCACCUCAGCCUUCCAAGUAGCUGGGACUACAGGCACAAGCCACCACGCCCCACUAAUUUUUGUAUUUUUUGUAGAGGCGGCGUUUCACCAUGUUGGCCAGGCUGGUCUUGAACUCCUGAACUUCUGGGCUCACGCUAUCCACCCUCCUUGGCCACCGAAAGUGUUGGGAUUACAGGCAUGAGCCAGUGUCCAGCCCAAAAUAGUCUUUUGAUUUUUUUUCCCCAACCAUUUAAAAGUUCAAAACAUUCUUAGUUUUUGGGACGAAAAAAAACAAGUGAUGGGUCAGAUUUGGCCCUGGAUUGUGGUUUGUUGACCCCUGUCAUAGAGGAACAGGAAGCAGAGAGGACUGGUUAUAGGGCCUGGGAAACCAAGCCAGGGAGUUAGACUUAAGGUAGUGUGAAAGAGGAAACCAUUUUUGUAAUGUAAUGAAAAAUUUAAAGGAAGGAUAUUUUGUAUUUAUAUGUGUUCCUGGAAAAUCUCAUUUUAUUCAAAACAUAUUUUCACUAUGGAAAAUUUCAAACAUUUACAAAGUAGAGAGAAUAAUUUAAUGAAAUACCAAGUGAUGUAUUUAUCACCUACCUUCAACAAUUACCAGUCCUAGGUCCUUUGCAUUUCUAUUUUAGAAUCAGCUUGUCACAUUCUACAAAAAAGCUGGCUGGAAUUUCUGUCGGGAUUGUUUUGAGUCUGCAGAUAAUUUCAGGGGAAGAAUUGACUUCUUAAUAAAAUUGAAUCUUCCAACCCAUGACUAUGGUAUAUUUCUCAAUUUAUUUAGUUUUUCUUUAAUUUUUCUCAACAAUAUUUUGUAGUUUUCAGUGUACAAAUCUUUCCAGUUUUUUGAAGGGAUGUGGUCAGAUUUACUCCUAUUUCAUAUAUUUUGAUACUGUGAAUUUCAGCUUCCAGUUAUUCAUUGCUAAUAUAUAAAAAUACACUUGGUUUUUGUAUAUUAAUCUUGUAUCCUGAGACCUUAAUGUAAUUUGUUUUCAAAGCUUUUUUGUGGAUUCCAUUGGCUAUUCUGUCAAUGUUGUCUGUGAAUAAAGACAGUUGUACUUUU
rnacentral:lncRNA from 1 species